rnacentral:rRNA from 1 species
ACUCCUACGGGAGGCAGCAGUGGGGAAUAUUGCACAAUGGGGGAAACCCUGAUGCAGCCAUGCCGCGUGUGUGAAGAAGGCCUUCGGGUUGUAAAGCACUUUCAGUAGGGAGGAAGGUAGUGUAGUUAACACCUGCACUAUUUGACGUUACCUACAGAAGAAGCACCGCUACUCCGAUGCCAGCAGCCGCGGGUAAUACGGAGGGUGCGAGCGUUAAUCGGAAUUACUGGGCGUAAAGCGCAUGCAGGCGGCCUGUUAAGUCAGAUGUGAAAGCCCGGGGCUUAACCUCGGAAUUGCAUUUGAAACUGGCAGGCUAGAGUCUUGUAGAGGGGGGUAGAAUUUCAGGUGUAGCGGUGAAAUGCGUAGAGAUCUGAAGGAAUACCAGUGGCGAAGGCGGCCCCCUGGA